rnacentral:rRNA from 1 species
GAGCAUAAUCAGUAGUCUUUUAAUUGAAGGCUUGUAUGAAUGGUUGGACGAGAUAUUAACUGUUUCAUCUUAACUUUUUUUAGAAUUUAAUUUUUUAGUUAAAAAGCUAAAAUUUAUUUAAAAGACGAGAAGACCCUAUAAAUCUUUAUAUUAAAUUUAUUAUUAUUAUUUAGAUUUGUUUUAUAAUAAUAAUUAAUAAUAUUUUAUUGGGGUGAUAUUAAAAUUUAUUUAACUUUUAAUAUUUUAUUACAUUAAUUUAUGAAUAAAUGAUCCGUUUUUAACGAUUAAAAAUACAAGUUACUUUAGGGAUAACAGCGUAAUUUUUUUGGAGAGUUCUUAUCGAUAAAAAAGAUUGCGACCUCGAUGUU